GACGAACGCUGGCGGCGUGCUUAACACAUGCAAGUCGAACGGAAAGGCCCUGCUUUUGUGGGUUUCUCGAUUGGCGAACGGGUGAGUAACACGUGAGUAACCUGCCCUUGACUUUGGGAUAACUUCAGGAAACUGGGGCUCAUACCGGAUAUGAGCUCCUGCUGCAUGGUGGUGGUUGGAAAGUUUCGGCGGUUGGGGAUCGACUGGAGGCUUAUCAGCUUGUUUGUGGGGUAGUUGCUUACCAAGGCUUUGACGGGUAGCCGGCCUGAGAGGGUUACCGGCGACAUGGGGACUGAGAGACGGACCAGAAUGGUAUGUGAGGCAGCAGUGGGGAAUAUGGCAGAAUGAGCGGAAGUCUGAUGCAGAAACGCCGGGAGCGGGAUAACGGGCUUCGGGGGGUAAACAGAUUUGGAAGGUGACGAAGAGUGAGUGACGGUAAUGAGUAAAGAAGCAACGGCUAACUACGUG
rnacentral:rRNA from 1 species